GAUGAACGCUGGCGGCGUGCCUAAUACAUGCAAGUCGAGCGAACAGACGAGGAGCUUGCUCCUCUGACGUUAGCGGCGGACGGGUGAGUAACACGUGGAUAACCUACCUAUAAGACUGGGAUAACUUCGGGAAACCGGAGCUAAUACCGGAUAAUAUAUUGAACCGCAUGGUUCAAUAGUGAAAGACGGUUUUGCUGUCACUUAUAGAUGGAUCCGCGCCGCAUUAGCUAGUUGGUAAGGUAACGGCUUACCAAGGCAACGAUGCGUAGCCGACCUGAGAGGGUGAUCGGCCACACUGGAACUGAGACACGGUCCAGACUCCUACGGGAAGCAACAGUAGGGAAUCUUCCGCAAUGGGCGAAAGCCUGACGGAGCAACGCCGCGUGAGUGAUGAAGGUCUUCGGAUCGUAAAACUCUGUUAUUAGGGAAGAACAAAUGUGUAAGUAACUAUGCACGUCUUGACGGUACCUAAUCAGAAAGCCACGGCUAACUACGUG
rnacentral:rRNA from 1 species